GUGGGCAGUUAAUUUUCAGGCAUCCCAGCAGGAUUGGGAGAUGGUGGUGUAAAAAGCACUGGAGUCUGAAGCCCUGCGUGUACAUGGAUGAAGUCUUGCUCCUGCCAUGUGUGUCUUGGUACCAGUUAAAACUGUGCACCGCCCAUACAACAUACAACAGUCUUCAGGCUACUGAUAUUGGUAAGGUAGUAUAUCAGAAAAGGAUAAUAAUGUUAAUGAGGGUAUUAUAUUAUGAUGAAAAAUUCAUAAUAUGUGUCCAUGCUUGGGAUGUAGUAUUUCACAAUAUACUCUUCAAAAUGUAUAAAGAAAAUACUAUUUGGUCUUUCAGGAGGUGGAAUCUGAAGCACUUAAGGAAGACUUCAGUGCUUCACUGGAGUGGAGCAGACAGAUGUGUCCUGUGCAGUGGAGACAAUACCCACCAAGAAGAAAAGCUGGAAGUAAGAGCAGGUUUGUGUGGAGGUUGAGCCCAAGUGUCAGCGAAGUGAGUCAGAGGAGCAGCCUGGCUGGUGGCCAGGGCAGUGACUGUGCUGGCUGCUUGCAGGAAACGCGAUGAGUUACAGAAACGCAUCGGUUACAGAGGGAUGGAAAGGGCUUCCUUGCCCUUCCCUUCUGCCCUGAAAAGGCAGCAGAGGCUUUUCCAAUGUCCUCAUAAGACCUUGGGGCUCCUUGUGUUAUACGUUGUGUUGGUCUCUGGUCAAAAUCCUCUAAUAGCUUACAGGAGGAAAAUGCGCUUCUCCACAAGUGGUGGGGAAUAUUGGUUGAAUCUCAUCCUGCUCUGUCUGGAGAGAGGGACUGUAUUCCAGUUUUAUUUAUGAUGUUUACUUCAUAGUACAGAAAAUCACUCACCUGUGAAUCCCAGGAUCAACCCUAGAUUUUUAUAGAGGAGAAAAGUUGGUGUUUACUCCCUUUCAGUUAUCUGAUGUAGCAAGUGAUGUUGAUACAAACUUUGUGUACGGCUAGAAGUUCAAUUUUUGUUUAAUUUCCUUCAGAACUCAUGGCUAAAUAUACCAAAUCCCAGUCUCUUUAAUUUAUUGUCCAAGUACAUCUGUGUUUGUGUAGCAUUCUUGUUGUUUGAAAAGAGUAAGCCUGCAUUAACUAUCUUUCCAGCCAAGGUGGUAAAGGAAGGUGCUCUGCUUCUUUGCAGUUCUCUAUUUUGUUUAAUUUCAGAUUUAUACAGUGUACUUUCAGAAGGAGCCAUUAGACUGCUUAGUUGAGCCUCCUGCAUGUCACAGGUGGUUGAUAUGAUGCUCCUCUCAGCCUAUGUGGAUGCCAAUAGCAUGUUAACUUAAACCACUUUUCCAUUUUAUUUUUAUUCAGUGCUUUUAUGGAUUCUCACAGGCUACGAACUAGUCAGGUUUUUAGUAACACAAAGUGGAACUCUUUGGUAUAUUCUUGAUUCUUCUCRCAUUCUUGGUUCUCUUAAUUUCUCCCAUCAUGUAAUCUGCUAGCUUACCCUCUAGUCUG
rnacentral:lncRNA from 1 species